rnacentral:other from 1 species
GUAGGCCUGCGAGGUUGGUGCGGGCACGACGGUUAUUUGAACCAAUGCCGUCAAAACGGGAGCCUAGCUCGCUCUUCCGGUGUGCCAGAGUCUGCGUUGCAGAGCUUGAGGCCUGAAGGAAAGCGGAGGGCACCCACCUCGUGAAGAGGUUCGAAUCACCAGUGUCACACGGCUGAGCGGGUCACUC